rnacentral:rRNA from 1 species
UGUCGACUGGUUGUUGGGGGUUUGACACUCUCAGUAACGAAGCUAACGCGUGAAGUCGACCGCCUGGGGAGGCAGGUCCUUAAGGAGUGAUUGGUAACUGGGGUG